rnacentral:misc_RNA from 1 species
AAAGUCGUAACAAGGUCUCCGUUGGUGAACCAGCGGAGGGAUCAUUAUAGAGUUCUAAACUCCUUAAACCCAUGUGAACUUACCACUUUGUUGCCUCGGCAGGACCUCUAGGGGAAAUGCCGGUGGACCAAAACUUAAACUCUUGUUUUUACCAUGAAAUUCUGAAUUUAUAAACUUAAUAAGUUAAAACUUUCAACAACGGAUCUCUUGGUUCUG